ensembl:lncRNA
CUCCAGCAUCUUCUCCACCUCCUGUCGCAGCUUUUUCACUGUUGUGGAACCCGGUACGGACAUUGGCAGAUGGGAUGUCCGUCCUUUAGUCGUAUAACAUGUUUGACAAGGGUGGGCCUACUGAACACAGAGAUGGAGUCUCCUGAAGGAUUUGGAGUAGCUCAACAGCCUGCUUUGGGAUGAGAUGAGUCAGCACCGGAGAUAUAUGAUCGCUUCCCUGCUCAGGUUCUGUCUUCCCUUCUCUUGGCACUUCUCCUGCCAUCAGAGCGUUCGCAGGGCCCUGGUGUGCACGUUCUUCCCAUUCUUUCAGGAGAUUCACAUGACACAGACAGAGUGAAGUGUCAGACGGUGUUCUUCUGCAGUUUAACAACUUUUCUGCAUCAGGAUCAAAGUCAGAAUGAAAAUCUUUCAUGUUCUCUUCUUCUGCUUCUUGUCAGGUCCAGCUGUGCUCGUCAAGGCAAAACAUAAUAUUUGGUCUGCAGCUGAAGGAGUAAAUGGCACACUUAACUGCAACUUAACUUUGUCUGGAAGCACAAAGUUCUUCUGUAAGGAAAAAUGUGAGCGAGCAGAAGAUAUCCUCAUUAAAACAGAUGGAAGCACAGCUCAGAGUGGGAGAUUCAGCAUUAAAUAUAAAGAUGGAUCUUCAGGAAGAGGAAUUGUGUUUUUGACCUUCACACACAUGAUCAAAUCUGACUCAGGACUGUACAGGUGUGCUUUUGGAAACUCUUCUCCAGAUUCAUACUAUGACUUUGAGGUCAGAGUUUCAAAUGAUCUGGAUAAAAACAUUGGUCUUUAUCACACAGAAAUGAAGGGAGAAAACAUCAAAUUAGUAUGUUCAAUUAAUGCGUACGGACAGAGGAAGUUCUUUUGUAAGAAUCAGUGUAAGAAUAAAGGGGAGAUCCUCAUUGACACAACUAAUAACAAAGCUGUGAGUGGCAGAUACAGCAUUGAAUACACAGCAGGAUCCAUGUAUGGACUGUAUGCAACCAUCACACAGCUGACCAAGUCAGACACAGGAUUGUACAUCUGUGGUUAUGGAAACCCUCUGUCUCCAGAUUCAUACGAGAGUGAAUAUGUUCUUGUCAGUGAUGCAACAACACAGAGUGAAAGUGUCACUGCAGGAGUCUCUACACAUGGUCCUGACUCCUCCUGGCUUCUGGUUGUGCGUGCGUCCUUGGAUGGUGUUUUGCUGAUGGCUGUUUUCCUCAUGCUCUUCUACAUUAGUAAGACAAGGAGGAACUUUGGACUGAACACCAGAGAAAAUGACACAAACAUGGAGUUAUCUGUCGGGUAUGAGAACUUUGAUCCAACCUCCAAACACGAAGAGUCCAAAAGCAGCAGGACCAAACCUACUCUGCAUUAUUAAAGACCAAAAUCUAAAAAGUAAAAAUUAAUUUUGGCCAUCUACUCUCUGAGGUUAUCUCCUCUUCCACACCUGCUUUUUGUUGAUAUUUUUGGACAUAUUUCUGAGAUUUCACUAAAAGCUUUGGAUACGAGGAUCGCCUCCUAUAUUAUUUGCUUCACUAUGCUUUAAUGUGUUCCUGUUAUAUAAAUGCUUAUAUGCAUUGGCAUAGUUAAUUGCAGAGGUGGGAAGUAACAAAGUACAAAUACUUCAUUAUGGUCCUUAACUACAAUUUUCAGGUAUCUGUAUUUUACUUAAGUAGUUUCUUUUCUUAUUACUUUUUGCUUUUACUCCUUACAUUUUUAAACAAAUAUAUGUACUUUCUUCUUCUUACAUUUUCAAAAUAGACUAGUUACUUUAGGCUUAAUGCAUUUGAGGGGAGUUAUUAUUUCAUUAAUGAGAGCCUUUAAAUAUCCAACUUAAAUAAGAGAGUCUCAAGAGUUGAACUGGGACUUAAACCAGCAACCUUUGAGUUAUUGCUCUGAGUUGUGCCC